UCUUCACCCAUUAGUUUUAUCCAUUCCAGUGCCAUAUUCUGCUUGCAAUCCCAUGGAAAGUUGUAUAAUUACAUUUUUGCCUCUUCACAGUUUUUCUGAGAUCUUGUACUGAAGAAGAAAUAAGUUGCUGUAGAGAAUGGUGGCUGUGGACAAAAUGGAAAUCUACACAUCGGUGUGUCCUCAGAAUCAGUGAGCAAGUGGUCAAACAACAUCUGCUGUAUAAAAAAGAAAAUGAACUAAUUCACAUUGUCAAGUUUACAACUUCCAUUUUUAUUGUGCUGCAGCAAUAUUGUGCAGUUAUUUUAUUUCCCCUCAGAAGAAGUCGUUAUUGUCAAUGGUGUCAAUAUCCCAUGGAUUAAGGGGUCCCCAAGCAGAUUGUGGCACAUUGUUGGGGCUUUUAGUGUCAAUAAUCCUUGAGUCAGUUCUGAGAUGAUAAACUACAAUAGCUCCAAAUUCGAAGUUUCUGCUUAUCAUUAAAACAGUAGUCUGAUUAUGCUGAGAGCCACCUCCAGAAAGUUCCCUCUCACCACAAUUGUAUUUAUUUCUGUCUUACAAUCUCUGUUAACUAAGAAUUGUGGGUGAAGUCACUCCUGCUGCUUGUCCCUAAUGAUGAGGAAUGAAUGUUAUUGAACAAUUAGAAUGAGCAGGGUUUGGACUAAUGAGCGGGUUACUAUAGCUAAAAAUUACCAAAAGUAUCAACCCCCAGGCCUCCUUUCAAUUUGGUAGACAUGCUAUGUGUUCCUUCUUUGUGCAAAGCUCUUCCGUCUCCCCCUUCUUACUUAAUUAAUGUCUGCACAUUCUUCAGAUCUUAGUGCAGUUUUCACUGCCAUAUGUAUUAUUCAGGUUUUUUUAUUAUUCGGUUUGUCAUAGCUAUCCUGAAAUACCCAAAACAAGCUCCUUAUGAAGGAAAUAAGUUUAUUUAGCUCACGCUUUUGGAGGUUCAAUUCCACAUAGCAUGCACGGUCUCUGUAGUGAGAGGCACUCCUUACCUGUAGCACCUCAUGAUGGGUGGCAAUGGUGAGAGUGUGUAUGGGAACAAGCACGUAGCAUCUUGAUACUAGAAACCAUAGAAAAGAGUUAAGCUAUACAGGAAGAUCCAGCCUUGCACUUUUCAUAACAACCCUCUCUUAAGCACUCAAGAGGUUGCAGGAGAACUAUCAAGGCAUUACACAAAAAUUGUUUCUUGUCUCAAGUGACCUCCCACUAGGUCAUACAUCUUAAAUGUUGCAGGAGUACUCAAUAGUGCCACCCUAGGGACUAAGCCUCCAAUGCAUGAAUUUUAGGGAACACCAUUAAACCAUAUUUAAACCAUAGCACUAUCCUUAAACCCUUCCUCAAAAGAAGAGGUCAAAUCCUCUUUUUACAUAUCCUCACCACAAAAUCCCAUUUAUAUUUAUAUUAGCACAAUCAUUUGCUUUAAUGGCUAUCUCCCCUCACCAAAUUUAGGUUUGGCGUACAGAAACAAUGUCUGAUUUCCUUAUCACUACAUCCUUAGCACGAAAGAACAGCACCUGGAGUAUAGUGAGCAUUUGAUAACUAUUUGAAGAAUCUUCAACCCUGUGUCUGUAUUGGUCAGCACAGAUAGCUUUUGUUUCUUACCAUGUACAACCCCCAAAUGUCAGGAGCUUAAACCCAUAAAGAUUUAUUUUCCAUUCACAUCGAAAUCUAAUGAAAUCCAGUCACGUGCCAAAACCUAAGCACGGGAGUGAAUGGGAAAUGUAGUCUUUUGUAUGUCCAGAGAGAGAAACAGGACAAGAGAAUAGUCAAUCUGUCUGCCGCACUCUCUACCUCUACUUGAAGUUUGAAGUCUUCUACAGCUGGAAGUACCAACAAGGAGUCAAAGCAAACAAGUAAGCGAACCCUAAAACAUCCUGCUCACUCCUUCUCCCCACCAUAACCUACUUUAGUUAUUCCUGGUAUAUUCUAGAGUUGGGUUUUAAAUAAAUGAUUAAAUCUUGUCUAAAAAGCAAGUAUAUACAUCGAGAGCUGAGGAAUAUGAACAAUCCAGGUCAGAUUUCCUGAUCAAACCCCUUUAAGAACUUCCCAUUUCCUACCAUGAUCUUAUAAAGUUUUCCAUGAUUUACUCCUUCGCAUCUUUCCAAAAUCAAGUGACAGAUUUGCUUCUGGAAGAUAACUUGCUCCAUCUUAAGUAUUCACUUAGGAGUUUGCAUUCUGCUCCAAAAUAUACCAAUAGAUGUAAAGAAUUU
rnacentral:lncRNA from 1 species